GAUGAACGCUGGCGGCGUGCCUAAUACAUGCAAGUCGAGCGAACAGACGAGGAGCUUGCUCCUCUGACGUUAGCGGCGGACGGGUGAGUAACACGUGGAUAACCUACCUAUAAGACUGGGAUAACUUCGGGAAACCGGAGCUAAUACCGGAUAAUAUAUUGAACCGCAUGGUUCAAUAGUGAAAGACGGUUUUGCUGUCACUUAUAGAUGGAUCCGCGCCGCAUUAGCUAGUUGGUAAGGUAACGGCUUACCAAGGCAACGAUGCGUAGCCGACCUGAGAGGGUGAUCGGCCACACUGGAUCUGAGGCACGGUCCAGACUCCUACGGGAGGCAGCAGUAGGGAAUCUUCCGCGAUGGGCGAAAGCCUGACGGAGCAACGCCGCGUGAGUGAUGAAGGUCUUCGGAUCGUAGAACUCUGUUAUUAGGGAAGAACAAAUGUGUAAGUAACUGUGCACGUCUUGACGGUACCUAAUCAGAAAGCCACGGCUAACUACGUG
rnacentral:rRNA from 1 species